UUUGACAACUUAAUCUCUUAGGGAAGAUCAAAGUUCUGUACUAGUAGGUGGAUCCAGGCAAGUUUGGGCAUUUUCUUGGCCUCUGUCAGGUUAUCUCUCAAAUUCUUAUUUUAGUCAUCUUUAUAGUAGAAAGCACUGACAGCCUGCGAGUUUGGAUUUUGGUCUUUGGUCUCCUUGGUUGUGCUUAUUUAUCCUUUUAUUCCCGUUUUUCUUAUCAAGAAGUAAUGGAUAUUGGUGACUAAUGGCUCUCACUGCUUUCAGUCUCUCUAAAUCUGUAUAGAUGGUCUAGCAAGUUGUAAGACUCUUUCAGUGACUCUGAAAUUUUUCCAAGACUGUUUUUCACUUUUUCUCUUUAAAAAAAAGAUAUAUUUCCAUAAAAGCUCAGUAUUUAUCAGUAUACCUGGGUUAAAAGUUAAACCCUCCCCAAUGUGCCUUUAACUCUGGAAAAUGUAACUAAUGUAAC
rnacentral:lncRNA from 1 species